rnacentral:tRNA from 1 species
AAGAAAUUAGUUAAAUAUAUAACAUUAAUAUGUCAUGUUAAAAUCACUAGUAAUGACCUAUUAUUUCUUA